GGUGGGGUAUGUUCUCUGUGGGCAGAAAGCAUAGGGUAUUGUGUGCGGAGGUGUGGGCUAGCGUAUCUGUGCUGGCUGUGCGGUGUCAGCCUGUAAAUGCUGCUCCUGUGGGAUGAGCAGUAGGAGGUGGCAGGAGGGCAAGGGCACGGUGGGCGCCUCCGCAAUGUGAUGUGGAUCGCGGUGCUAGGGCCAGUACACCGGGCAGGACCCUCACAUCUUGGGACGGACCUGCGGAGCAUUCUGGGAGCGGGGCCACGCCCACCGCGGGCGCCAACAGUGAGCGGCUGGGAUGUCGGCGGCGGCGGCGGCCUUGGAGACAACGUUCUCCUCACGUGCUGGGGGCUGGGCUCCGGAAAUGCCCUUUGGGGUUUAAAUUGUCCUGGCUCCCGUUAGCGUCGUGCCCUGCACGUUUUAUUUUCCUGUUUAAUCCUCACGGCCAGACCCCGAGAGACCUUCUUAUCCCCACGGCCCAGAUGACAAGACCAAGGCCUAAGGAGCCAUGGAAGAUGCUCACGCUUGCGUAACAGUAUUGCCCGGAGCCAAAUCCAGGUCUCCAGACUCUGAAUGCUGUGCUCUCCCGCUAGAAACAGCCAUAGAACUCGAUCCCAAGGCGCAACCUGGAGAUAUUGUGAAGAACCUUCUUGAUGUUGCUCUGAGCAAUGAAAGACGACCCAGUGGCCACUGCAGAGACAACUCCUGGCCCUGGCAGUCUUCAUUCUUCAUUGGCAUCAUUUUCCCAUACUGCGGCCUUCACACCCACUGGCCCUCCCUAAGAAAUAACCUGCUUCCUCCAGGGGUUUAACAGGAAGAUGACUGUCUGGACCUGCCAUCCUUACAAAAAAACACCUCAUUCUUUUUCUGGACUUGCCAAAUUCUAGAAUGUCAGUGCUGAAAAAGACCUUGCAGGCCAUUUGGUCCCAGUGUAACAAACUUGUCUUCAAUCAUGGGCUGCCUCCGCCUGAAGCAGUGGAUAAAGCUGAGUCAGAGCUCAGCUGGCAGACAUUUGUUACAGGGUGCAAGGAGAAGGUGCAGGCCACCAUGUGAGGUAACAUGCCACCUCCAGCCCAGCUGUCCCUGCUCCUGCAGACGGGCUUACCAAUGAUGGUCACACUGCCGGGGAACAUAACUGACUUUAGGGGAAGGGGAUGAAGAUACGAUGCCUGGCACACAAAGAAUUGCCCAUGUCCACAGGACUGAACCAACUACAGGUAAACAAUGCCAGACAGAUCCUUAAUGCUAGGCCACCAGGGAGCUCUUCAUCUUGAUUUUUUUAAAAAUAAUUAACAUAAAAAAUGGAGUUCCCGCUCUAGAGCAGUGGGUUAAAAAUCCAACUGCAAUGACUCAGGUCACGGUAGAAGUGCAGGUUCGGUACCCAGCCCCGUGUGGUGGGUUAAAGGAUCCCACUUGUCACAGCUGCAACUCAGAUUCAAUCCCUGGCCUAGGAACUGUGUGCCACAGGCGUGGCCAUUAAAAAGGGGAAAAAAAAAGAUUUCAUUUCAGAAUAGUCAGAGAUCAUUACAAAAUUUUCUUUACAAAAAGGGGGCCCAAGGGGUUAUGAGGGUUGAGAUCACUUUCCCUGUCUGAGCUUCUUCAGUAAAUGAGAUAACCCCAACAUCAGAGCUGAUGAGAAAAAGCACCACAUGUGUGCUCAGAACAUGGUAAUUCAGUUUUAGUUCCCAGCCUGGUGUCUACCUUUUCUGUCCCAUACCUUGCUCAAGGGAUAUCCCCAACACAAGCACCGUGAACUUAAGGAGUAAGGAAGCAUUUUCUGAUGAAAACAAUCACAUCCGGCUGCUAGGUGACACAGAAACCAGUCUAGAUGAUGCACUUAUAAACUCUCCCACUCACCUUAGAAUUAUUCCAAAUCUUUUGAGGAAAGGAAUGGAGCAUUCAUCCAAGUUAACAGACUGCAGCUGCUGAAGGCAGUUCAACAGCUUAAAUUUAAGUGACCACUCAAAUAUUCCCAUUUAAUUUAGACCAUUUUCCCCCCCUCCAGCAACUAAGAAAUGCUGCAGACUCCUAACUACAGCCACUGGUUUUGAAACCAGAGGAGGUAGGUGCUUUCAUGAAUCUCUGUCUGACCAUAGAAUUCUUAGGUGUUCACCAUAACAGAGUCCAUUUGGGGAAAAAGGAAAAAUAGUUGGGAAAAUAGUUGAAAAUAGUUGAAAAAGUUAACUAAAAAAACCCCAUCAAACAUAAAUGUUAAAAGUUCGGUGUGUACCAGUCCUUAUGUAAAAUGUAAUACUCAGUAGUGCUGCUAUCACGUUCCCCAAAGGGUUAAAACUGGGGUGAUGUCAAGACCAGGAAACUGGAAUAGCCAUAGCAACGAGUCACGGGUUUGAAGGCUGCCCAUGACUCAAGGUUAACAGUGAACAAGGACACUUGUUAUCAACCCGUUCACAUUAGCACAGCUUUGUCCUCCUUGACAAUGACAUUUUAAGUCACAUUAAAUUAAGCAUCACUAAGCAUCAGGAUAAAGCCAGGUAGGCCUUUGCCAAGAAAUAUCUUGACUACUUAACAAGUGGUACCCUGCCCAGAUGAUGACGUGGAUUUCAGUAGAACAUAACAUCUCAGAAGUGCAUGCUUCAGAUAUGUAAUAAGAGAAAAGCUAAAGGACACAUGACUUCCAUUUAUUUCUAGCUGUAUAAAUACCUGCUCAUUACAGUAUGCCUAACUUUCUAGAAAACAAAAAUUCAACACGUUACCUCAAGAAAGGAAGAAAUAAUUAUUUCCCAGUAUACAUACAAUUUACACUUUUUACCAUGAGCAUGUUUUAGAACUAGAGACAACUAAAUCCUGUCAUUAAGUGACAAUGAAAUGGUACCUUAUGAUUGGGUUAUAAAAAUGCAGAACAGAAAACAAAGGCUUUGGAGACAAGUAUGUUCUCAGAUCUUCCUCAGCUUACACCUUGAUAUACCAGUCAUAAAUUGAAAAUAUCUUAAGUUAAAAACACUAUACUACACCUAACCUACCCAACAUUAAGCUUAGCCUAGCUUACCUUAAAUAUGCUCAGAACACUUAGAUUAACCUACAGCUGGGCAAAACUAUCCAACAAAAUGUUGAAUAUCUCAUGUAAUUUACUGAAUACAGAGUGAAAAGCAGAAUAGUUAGGUCCAGAAGAAGUAUACUAGUUUACUCUUGUGAUUGCAUGGCUGCCUGGGAGCCAUGCCUUAGCUUGUUGCCCCUGCCCAAGCACCAAGAGUUUUGUGCUGCCCGCCACUAGCCAAGGAAAAGAUCAAAAUUGAAAGUUUCUGGAGUUCCCAUUGUGGCCGAGUGGGUUAAGGAGCUAACUACUAUCCAUGAGGAUGCAGGUUUGAUCUCUGACCUCACUCAGUGGGUUAAGGGUCCACACUGCCACAAAGUGCAGCAUAGGUUGCAGAUGUGGGUGGGAUACUGCAUUGCUGUGGCUGUGGUGUGUAGGCUGGCAGCUCCAAUUCAAUCCCCAACCUGGAACUUCCACAUGCUGCAGGUGUGACCCUAAAAAAGAAAAAAAAAAUUGGUUUCCAGAGUUGCUUUCACACCAUUAUUAGGUCAAAACAAACAAAAAAAACCCCACGAGUUGAAUCAUCCUAAGUCGGAAAUUGUGUACUUGUUUAGCAGCAUAAGGAGUGAUAUUAGGAACUUUUUUCUGCCCUCUUUUAAUAGAGAUACUCACCUUAAGUGAGUGAUAAGCAUUACAGAAGAAAAAGGCCCUGGACAAUGUUUGGCAGACUGGUACUGAAAAACAAAAUUUAUCUUCCUAGAAGACAUAGCUGGCCAGAGUAGGUGUGGUAGGGCAGAUGAAUUAAAAAAAAGAAAAAAAAAAAUUUAAAACCUUCCUUACCUGACUACUCCAAGUCUUCCACCCAAGCUUCCAGCAUCCUAAAAGAAGCUUACUUUAAAAGAUUUUAAAUCUAUUUAAGAUUUUUUAAUCUAAGAUUUUCAAUCUGUUUUCAAAUAUUCAGUUCUUAGCCCUCUCCAAAUUAUCAGAGUUCACCUACACCUUAUUUAAAGUAGGCAACUUUGGAGUUUCCACUGUGACCCAUGACCCAUGAGGAUGUGGGUUUGAUCUCUGGCCUUGCUCAGUGACUUGGCUCAGAUCCCAUGUGGCUGUGGCAUAGGCCGACAACUGCAGCUCCGAAUUAAUUAGAACCCUUAGCCUGGGAACUUCCAAGAGUGAAACCCUAUCUAAAAAAAAUAAAAAAGUAGGCAACUUCUACUCCCAACCUCCCUUCUGGAAACCAAUUUCAUUUCAAAUGGACUGCUUGGCAUACAUUGCCAACUGAAGACCAAACAGGACUGCCGGUUCAAUUUCUUGUCCCCAUUAAACCCCAAACAGCUGGGACACAUAAGCCAGCCAUUUCAAUGUGAGGACAGUAACAUUUCCAGCUUCUUGGCCUUCCUACCAGUACCAAAGCCCACACUGCUUACUCAGCAGUAGGGCUGAAGGAAAAUCAAAAAUCAUCAGACUGGGAGAAGGAUCAAGACGGCGAAGGAGUAAGACCUCAGGCUCACCCUGAAAUACGAAAAACCAGAAGAUACCAUUAACAAUUACAUGCCAACAAAUUUGACAAUCUAGAAGAAAUGGACAACUUUCUAGAAAUUUAGAGCCUGCCAAAACUGAAUCAAGAAAUCACUAGAAAUUAUAUUGAGUAUGUAAUAUAAAACACUCCCUACAAACAAAUGAACCUUUCCACAGAAAAUUCAUGAACUUGGAGAAGACUUUGUCGUUGCUGAGGGGGAGAGGGAGGGAGUGAGAUGGACUGGGAGUUUGGAGUUAAUAGAUUCAAACUAUUGCAUCUGGAGUGGAUAAACAGUGAGAUCCUGUUGAAUAGCACAGGGAACUAUUAUCUAGUCACCUGUGAUGGAACAUGAUGGAGAAUAUAAGAACAUAUAUGUAUGUUACGUCUAUGACUGGGUCACUUUGCUGUAAUGGUGGAAACUGACAUAACACUGAAAAUAAAUCAACUACAGUGGGAUAAAUAAAAACUUUAAAAAAUCACCAGACUGGAAUCCUGUUUCACCUCCAAACCCAUGCAACUCAGUUGGCUCCUGCUCACUAGUAUCUACUCUAUGACUAAGGUACUCUGUCUGUACCACUCUUCUUCACCUCAGAUUCUUUAUAGCCUUUAUCUGUGAGCUGAACCUUUAGUAACCACCCCCCACCCCUUAUGCACCUUACCAUCUGUCUCAGUUGUUUUCCACUGCUUUUAGGAGCUAAAGGGUUUCAAAGCACCCUCAAGAUUACUUGCCACCUCACCCAAGACCCUUUCUCUUAGGGCAUUAAGCACCAUAAAACCAACACAUCUUGAAUUAUCCUAAUCUAAAACAGGUAUACAUGAAAAAAUUGAGGUUUCAAUAUCCUAAUAUUGAAGACAAAUCAAAUAUUACAUGUUUUUAGAUACUGAGCUGGUGUCAUGCCUUAUCACUGUACACCCAAGUGCCUGUGUCAUACACUGCCAGGUGGGGAAGGUGUGACACAAAAAGGAUUAAAUGACAAAUCAAUAUUCCAGUUUGUAUUUAUUUGCAAAGCACUCCUGCUGAAACACGGUUUUCUCUAAACUAAAAAAUUGGGUUGAAAAUAAGUACCAGCUGCCUAAGUUUUAGAAGAUUUAAAAAAUGUUUUCUAAAGUGGUUACUCUUUCAAAAAAACUUUUAACUCCCCCAAAUGUUCCAUUUCAUAUACUGAUCAUUCCCCUUCCCAAAUCACUAUAAAUAACACCCCACCCUCCUCCAAGGAAGCCUUCAAUAAGCAAUUUUCAGCAACUUUUCCCCUUGGCUAUAAAGUUUGGGGACUUAGCAAAACAAAACAAAGCCCCAACCACUGAAGGAUGCUAACUUGCCCCAAAUGCAAUCUGAAUGAGGUAAUAGUGAAGCGAAGGCACAAAUUCACAAGUGACAAGAACUCAGUCACCUACAAACUACUUUUCUGGAAAGCUUAAUUUUGCUCUGGAAAUAAAGCGAAAUAUUCUCCAUCCCAGGACCUCUUCAAAUGAUGAACAGGAAUUUAACAAUUCCUAUCUUCCUUUUUUGCUUUUUAGGGCCGCAUUCUUGGCACAUGGAGAUUCCCAGACUAGGGGUUAAAUCAGAGCUACAGCUGCCGGCCCACGCCACAGCCACGCCAGAUCCAAGCUGCAUCUGUGAUCUACACCACGGCUCAUGGCAACACCGGAUCCUUACCCACCGAACAAGGCCAGGGAUCAAACCCACAACCUCAUGGUUCCUAGUCAGAUUAACUUCUGCUAAGCCACAACGGGAACUCCCCUAUCUUCCAUGUUUUUAACAAGCCCUAAAUGAAGCUAAGUGUCAACAUUUCUAAGAUUUUUCACUUCUUAAGUGUAUAUACAUACUAAUAGUUUAAGGCACUUAGUGGCCAGAUUCUAAGACUUUAGAACCAAGGAAAAACUAAAUAUGAGGAAAGUAAUGUUCUCCAAAUCUAUUUCAUGUUAACCUGGGAAACAUCUCAGCUGUCGUAUGUUCCAUUAAUAAUUAAAAAUUGGGAUACAAAAUGACAAGAAUACUGUAUUAUAAAUUUCUACAGUCCCAAUACAGGAAAAGUUGCAUGAACAAAAUUAAGCAGUUAUUUAGGUUUAUCAAAAGACCUUAUUUUCAAUGUCUUUUCUCAGAACCUCACAAGUAUGCUGUAGAACUAAAUUCUUGUGAGGUAUCCAAUGAAUAAAACAGGAUGAAAAAAGCUUUUGUGGACAUAAAAUUUAAUUCAACACUAUCAGAUUUUGGUAAAAAUAUACUCCAACCCAGUUUUUCUUCAGCUACUUUAAUUACAAAAAUCUUUCAUAUUCUUAAAAGAAAAAGAGGAAACCAGAAGGCAGCAGUCUAGUACAAAAAUAUACAACCUGGAAGACAUUACCACCAACUAGAUCUGACAACUAAAUCAUGUUCAGGAUUCUGAAAAUAAAAGCACAUUAAGACAAAAUUCUAAACCAGUGGUUCUUAUGUAACCAGGAAUGGAAAUAUGAGUCAGUGGGUCUGGAAUCAGAUGUGUGUUAUUUUGGAAAUUGCUAUGAUUAACACCAUUCCUGAUAAAGCAGCACUGUAAGAACAUGAACCAUGACUCUACAACAAAAAGCAACCAGAGCUUCCUAUCUAUCCAUACAUGGGUGAAAAAACCUGGAGAUGCCAUCUACUGAUCACAUGAUCUUUUUUAAGAAACUAUAAAAAGUAUAGAAACAGUAGACAAAAGGUAUCUAAAUCUUGUAAAAUUAAAAAAAAAUUUCUCCAGCUAAUAUAUCUUUGUUUUUAUCUUUCUGCUUAAGACAUGGAGGUAAGUAAUCCACAAUGAACUGAGAAUCAGUGUUAAAUAUUUCUGUAAGCAUAAAAAACAACUUAUCCCUAGGUAUGUUCCUUGAAUUAUCACCAAAUAUUAGUAAGCAAACAUUUGUAAUCAUACACAAGUCAAAGUUUUUAUGACUGUUUUCAGUAUCAUCAACUGAUGAUGCAAGACAGACUGACAAAUGGGACUUACAAUUUCAGAAACUAGUGAACAGCCGCAAUCUAAAUGUAGAAUGCGGUUUUAACAAUUUCUAUCUUCCGUAUUUUUAACAAGCCAUAAAUUUGUGUUAGGGCUUCUGGUUAAAGUGAUUACAAAUUUGGAUCCUAAAGGUAACUCCCUGAGGUUAACUUUAUGUAUCAGCCACAUUUUGCCAUAAUUUUUUACAGAAACCCUUCCAAUUUAAGUCUCUUCAAGUUAUAUGCUGCCAAAAAUGCCCAUAUAAAUUUAAGAGCAGUGUAAUUAAUAUACCUUAUUACUUCCAUGAAUUUUUGGCUAUCUUGCUUUGUUCAUAACAAAAGCUUUUAAGCUAUGAAAUGACAAAAGGCCCUAAAUCUGAGCUCCAAUAAAUCACCAGGCAGCCUUAACAAUAUCUUCUAUAACAAGGCUCAUACUGAACUUCACCAACACCAAAAGACUCUCCUCCCUUGAUUAUUUGCAUGAAAGGUUAAGAAGGACCACUGGAAAUAGUGUUUAGGAUUUGUAUCUUAUAAAAUAUCCUUACAGAUUAAUGACUUAUCUUUCACAUUAAAGUCAGUACAGCAUAAUCCAAAACUGUCUUUAAAUAGCACAUUUAAGGAAACUAAGCCACAAGACUGUUGUAUUAUGAUUUAAUCUAAUUGCACAAAAAUUUGAAGUUACAACUCCUCUAGAUUUCUAAGAGGAAAGUUAUGCAUGCCUCCGUAUGCAACUCUGUACUGUUACAUUUUAACCAUAUAGUGGAUUUUACAUCAUGACGGACCAAUUUAGAAUUCCCAUGCAACACCUCAAAUUAUAUAAAAUGGAAGCAAUUUUUAAAGCUCUGUGUUAAAGUUUUCAUGCUAAUGAUAAAAGCCCCUUUUAAAGGGCAACUUUGGAUUAUAAUGUAUCAGGUGGCUAUACUUUAAAAUGUUGGUCACUGAGUAUCAUGGACUUUUUGAACUGGCUUCUACGCCUAAAAAUUUAAGUUUUAUCACUUAGGUGGACACAAUUCCUUUCAUUUCAAAAGCCUCAACUGUGCUUACAGAGUUAAGAUUUGUGUAACCAACUGCCUUCUAUGGGACAAGAACUAUGGUAACAGUGGGUUCGACUAUUACACAAUUAUGCUAAUAUUUUAUUGUCAAAAGCACUUUACAAGAAAAUAUAAGUAUGGCUUCCAAUAGGAAUGUUAUACCUGGACUUGGUACCAAGCUCACAGAUUUUAGUUUUGCAAGGAAAAACAGGCUUUCAGGUUAAACAACAAUUUGUAACCAAAACUUUAAUCCCAAGGAUUCUCACAAAACAUAUUACAAAUGACAGCAUGAAAAAAAAUCUUGCACAGUAACUCAAAGUUCAGCUCUACAAUGUACCCUUAAACUGGUAGAACAUCAGAAUGUAUCUUGAAUAGUCUCCAAUUUUCAAAUAAAGAAUGUUACAAAGAGCUAUGUAUUCAUAUAUAGCAAUCACAGAAGGAACUUAUGACCUAAAGCAAAAGUAAACUAAUUUUCCUGAAACUUCUUAGAUUCUAUACAACUGGACAAUAUCCUGUCCAUUAUGAAGACUAGUGGGAUUUUUAAACCUCUAAUCUAGUAGUUUAAUGAUGCAGCUUUAACUUUUACCUGCUGGUUUGCAUUCAUAGCAGCUUUUAAAGACUGCUUGCUCAACUACAACUGCACACCAUAUUCCAGCUAUGGAAAGUCUUCUCAAAUUUUUGCCGGUUUUGCUUCAGUAAUAUUGAACAUCACAGUUUAGCUGGGCAGGAGUUAGAGGUUUAUUAUCAAUCUAUGCAAGACUUAAAAAAAAAAAA